AUUGAACGCUGGCGGCAGGCCUAACACAUGCAAGUCGAACGAGUGGCGGACGGGUGAGUAAUGUCUGGGAAACUGCCUGAUGGAGGGGGAUAACUACUGGAAACGGUAGCUAAUACCGCAUACCAUCGGAUGUGCCCAGAUGGGAUUUGCUAGUAGGUUGGGUAAAGGCUCACCUAGGCGACGAUCCCUAGCUGGUCUGAGAGGAUGAACAGCCACACUGGAAAUGGGACACGGUCCAGACUCCGACGGGAGGCAGGAGUGGGGAAAAUUGGACAAUGGGGGCAAGGCUGAUGGAGCAAUGCCGCGUGGAUGAAAAAGGCCUUCGUGUUGUAAAGUACUUUCAGCGGGGAGGCGUUACCCGCAGAAGAAGCACCGGCUAACUCCGUGCCAGCAGCCGCGGUAAUAC
rnacentral:rRNA from 1 species